rnacentral:rRNA from 1 species
CUACGGGCGGCAGCAGUGGGGAAUAUUGCACAAUGGGCGCAAGCCUGAUGCAGCCAUGCCGCGUGUAUGAAGAAGGCCUUCGGGUUGUAAAGUACUUUCAGCGGGGAGGAAGGGAGUAAAGUUAAUACCUUUGCUCAUUGACGUUACCCGCAGAAGAAGCACCGGCUAACUCCGUGCCAGCAGCCGCGGUAAUACGGAGGGUGCAAGCGUUAAUCGGAAUUACUGGGCGUAAAGCGCACGCAGGCGGUUUGUUAAGUCAGAGGGGAAAUCCCCGGGCCCAACCUGGGAACUGCAUCUGAUACUGGCAAGCUUGAGUCUCGUAGAGGGGGGUAGAAUUCCAGGUGUAGCGGUGAAAUGCGUAGAUAUCUGGAGGAAUACCGGUGGCGAAGGCGGCCCCCUGGACGAAGACUGACGCUCAGGUGCGAAAGCGUGGGGAGCAAACAGGAUUAGAUACCCCGGUAGUC